rnacentral:rRNA from 1 species
GCCAGACUCCUACGGGAGGCAGCAGUGAGGAAUAUUGGUCAAUGGGAGAGAUCCUGAACCAGCCAAGCCGCGUGAGGGAAGACGGCCCUAUGGGUUGUAAACCUCUUUUGUCGGAGAACAAAACCCGGGACGUGUCCCGGACUGCGUGUAUCCGAAGAAAAAGCAUCGGCUAACUCCGUGCCAGCAGCCGCGGUAAUACGUAGGGGGCAAGCGUUAUCCGGAUUUACUGGGUGUAAAGGGAGCGUAGACGGCAAUGCAAGCCAGAUGUGAAAACCCGCAGCUCAACUGGGGGAGUGCAUUUGGAACUGUGUAGCUGGAGUGCAGGAGAGGUAAGCGGAAUUCCUGGUGUAGCGGUGAAAUGCAUAGAUAUCAGGAGGAACACCAGUGGCGAAGGCGGCUUACUGGACUGUAACUGACGUUGAGGCUCGAAAGCGUGGGGAGCAAACAGGAUUAGAUACCCGAGUA